rnacentral:lncRNA from 1 species
UCUGGAGAGGCCACGCGUGAUGAUUGUUGGCGGUCGUAGCAGGGUAUGGUCCCUGGUUGAUAUGCCAUGGCGUGGCCGGCAAGCAAAGCAUGGUGCGGUAAGGCUGCUGCAGGGCAUGGCCGCAGCAUGUGGACGAGGUCGGCCUUUUGAGGUCAGCUCGGCCUUCUAUGAUUAGCCUUCUGUGCUCGGCAGCCUUCUGGAUGAGC